rnacentral:rRNA from 1 species
CCUACGGGAGGCAGCAGUGGGGAAUAUUGCACAAUGGGGGAAACCCUGAUGCAGCGACGCCGCGUGAGUGAAGAAGGAAUUCGGUAUGUAAAGCUCUAUCAGCAGGGAAGAAAAUGACGGUACCUGAGUAAGAAGCCCCGGCUAACUACGUGCCAGCAGCCGCGGUAAUACGUAGGGGGCAAGCGUUAUCCGGAUUUACUGGGUGUAAAGGGAGCGUAGACGGCAGUGCAAGUCUGGAGUGAAAGGCGGGGGCUCAACCCCCGGACUGCUCUGGAAACUGUACGGCUGGAGUGCAGGAGAGGUAAGUGGAAUUCCUAGUGUAGCGGUGAAAUGCGUAGAUAUUAGGAGGAACACCAGUGGCGAAGGCGGCUUACUGGACUGUACCUGACGUUGAGGCUCGAAAGCGUGGGGAGCAAACAGGAUUAGAUACCCCAGUAGUC